rnacentral:tRNA from 2 species
GGCCCCAUCGUCUAGCGGCCUAGGACAACGGAUUUUCGUUCCGUUUACCGGGGUUCGAAUCCCCGUGGGGUCA